GGUCUCGUGGCACACUUGCCAA
rnacentral:siRNA from 1 species